rnacentral:rRNA from 1 species
UUGACCUCAAAUCAGGUAGGACUACCCGCUGAACUUAAGCAUAUCAAUAAGGAGGAGGAA